CUGUUCCUAUGCCUACACUUGCUAAACAAUUCAGAUCUUAUAUUCAAUGUAUUAAUGAUUAUGUUAUCGGACAAAAUUAAUACAUUGAAUAUAAGAUCUGAAUUGUUUAGCAAGUGUAGGCAUAGGAACAG